rnacentral:rRNA from 1 species
UACGGAGGGUGCAAGCGUUGCUCGGAAUUAUUGGGCGUAAAGGGUAGGUAGGUGGUCUCAUUUGUCUGGGGUGAAAGCCUUGAGCUUAACUCAAGAAGUGCCCCAGAAACGGUGAGACUGGAGUCCUGGAGAGGGUCGUGGAAUUCCCAGUGUAGAGGUGAAAUUCGUAGAUAUUGGGAAGAACACCGGUGGCGAAGGCGGCGACCUGGUCCUUGACUGACGCUGAGGCGCGAAAGCGUGGGGAGCAAAGAGG